UACAGAGGUCCCAAGCGUUGUUCGGAUUUACUGGGCGUAAAGGGUGCGUAGGUGGCGGGAUAAGUCCGAUGUGAAAUCUCCGAGCUUAACUCGGAAAUGGCAUUGGAAACUAUUUUGCUAGAGGGUUGGAGGGGAGACUGGAAUUCUCGGUGUAGCAGUGAAAUGCGUAGAUAUCGAGAGGAACACCGGUGGCGAAGGCGAGUCUCUGGACAACUCCUGACACUGAGGCACGAAAGCUAGGGGAGCAAACAGG
rnacentral:rRNA from 1 species